UUGGAGACAGGUGUGCUGGAGUCAGAGCAGAUCCCUACCAGCUGCAACUCAUUCCAUAAUCAAGACCUCUACAAAUACUUAGUCCUGCCACUUCCACUCUACCAGAUUGUAAUCUCUGCUCGUUACCGCUCUGUCUCUGGCUCCUGUCUCCUGUUCCACAUCUCACCACCCAACUACCUUGCACUGGAGUUUACUCACCACCACUUGGAUUCCCCUCAGGACCUGUUUACCCUGUUCUACUCAGCUAACUCCAACCUCAGUCUCCACAUCUGGUUUUCCUGCAACUCAUCCGAGCUUCCCUGGAUCUGCACUCCAUAUCUUCCUUUGUAACAAUAAAUAUGUUGGUUCAUUCAUCCCCGUUUCCUCA